CAGCACAUUUUUGCCUGACUUUUUCUUUUCUUUUUCCAGUACUAGGGAUUGAACUCAGGACCUUGUGAUUGUCAGGCAGGUGCAGCACCACGGAGCUACAUCCUCAGCCCCCUGCCUGGCUUCUCUUGCUGCAAGUGACCUGGUGCUCCCCAUCCAUCACCCUGCAGUCCUACCUCCAUUCCAUACCCCUCCUCCAGAGGACCUGGGAGCUUUGAGCAGAGAAAGACUUGGAUGAACUUCAGAAGCACACAGAGCAUGUUUGGGUCCUACCAGAGCUUCCUCUGAAGGCUGAAAGCUUGAAACCUAU
rnacentral:lncRNA from 1 species